CAAGCCUGGGCAAUGGCGGGCGCCCCUCCCCCAGCCUCGCUGCCGCCUUGCAGUUUGAUCUCAGACUGCUGUGCUAGCAAUCAGCGAGACUCCCUGGGCAUAGGACCCUACGAGCCAGGUGCGGGAUAUAAUCUCGUGUUGCACCGUUUUUUAAGCCUGUCGGAAAAGCGCAGUAUUCUGGUGGGAGUGACCCGAUUUUCCAGGUGCCGUCCAUCACUCCUUUCUUUGACUCAGAAAGGGAACUCCCUGACCCCUUGCGCUUCCCAAGUGAGGCAAUGCCUCGCCCUGCUUCGGCUCGCGCACGGUGCACGCACCCACUGACCUGCGCCCACUGUCUGGCACUCCCUAGUGAGAUGAACCCGGUACCUCAGAUGGAAAUGCAGAAAUCACCCGUCUUCUGCGUCGCUCACGCUGGGAGCUGUAGACCGGAGCUGUUCCUAUUCGGCCAUCUUGGCUCCUCCCUCUGAAGAGUCCAACAGAAAAUUUUAAGUACCUGUUUAAAGCAAUUUACAAGAUACUGUGGAGAUUCCCAGCAAUAAAGAAUGUACUAUAGUUAAGCUGGAAUCCAACUCCUGAAUUUCUGGAGCCCUGAAGACCACUUAGUCUUACUCACAAGAAUUGAAUGGAAUGUGAAUCUACACUCAGGUGAAGCCAGGGUAUUUUGAACGUCCCUACAAGACUGAAGCACCACUGGGAAAUAAGUAAUAGAGAUGCCAUCAUUGUGGAGGUCAUAAUGCUUGUCCUGAACACGAGGGGUCUCUAGUGAGGCACCAAUUCAGCUCCUCUUCUGUGGAGAGACUACAUGGGUGCUGAAGAAACAAAGACACAACGCAGCUCCUCUCAAAGGAGUUCAGAGCUUAGCAGGGGAGACAGAACCAUGAAUGCAUAGUUACGCAUCAAUGUGCUGCACGAGCACUGAAGCCCAAGCACAAGCGGCCUGAGUCCCAAAAACAUUUGCUGACUGCUGUUCUAUCUAGGAUAUCAUCAGUGUGUAGAUGAUCAGAGUUCAUGUCAGUGUUCCUACAAGCCAAUGAAGAAAAACAGAGAUCUGUGUUCUGAAUGGAAAAAUUCCUACUGAUGCCAUCUUGUCUUCCCAGCCCACUAGUCUGGAACAAGUCAGUCUCAAACAUAACAACAGACACUGGGGAGCUCUCCAACAAAAGAUCACCUCCCAAAGAACAGGAUGGUGUCGAAGACUGAAUGCCAGCCUGAGGAAACAGAAAUACUACAGAAGCACGCCAGAGCCUGCAGUGUCUCCUCGCUGCCUCUCAAUGAACUGCUAAAAGACCAAGAACUCUGCUGAGAGAUAAGAAGAGGGGAGGGUGUGCUGCAGGUGGUGCUGGGAGGCCCAGACCUUCUCCUGACAUCUGGGGCUGGCUACAGGAAACAGAAACAUCACCCAGGCCUUGGCGCGAGACAGGACAGAGGCAGAUUGUGACUCAGAUCUGCAGGUGGAAAGUGGGCCUUUCGUUUUCUCCUAGGGGUAGAGCAAAGCCAGAGGGCUCAGUCAGAGGAAACCUAAGGCAGUUCAUGAUCCCUUCAACUUUAUACCAUUUCCUCAAAACUGCCUCCAAACAGUGGGCAACUGGAAAGGUGGUCUGACCUCCAGUGAUCACACAGUAUGCAUUAUAACAGAAGGCUGUCACUGUCAAUUGCAUGGCUCCCUCACUAUGCAUUCCUUCUAUCAAUUUACGACAACACACUGUAGUGAGUACCUGCACAUUGCUGGGUAUUUUGGCAGACAUUGAUAGUAGAUGAAUAACACCUGGUACUUGACCUUGAGACGCUCACUGCCUAGUGUGGGGAACCAAUGGUUGCAAUAUAAAGUAUUAACUAGAGGGAUAGAGGACUGCCUGAGGAUCUCUGCACUCAGAGGAAGGGCCAUGAGAUCAGCCAGGACAGUAGGGAGGCAGUGACUCAUGAAAUUAGCAAGUGGUGAGAAGAGGGCAGUAGAUUCAGCGGCUGCUAAAAAAGGUUACUGAACUUUUUGUUUCAUCAAUGCCAAGAAAUUAAUCUGUUUUAGCCUCUUUCAUGGCCUCUGUUUGAAAUUUUUUAACUUUUUUUUUUUUUUUAGAUUUAGGGGUACAAGGACAGUUGUAUUGCAUGAGUAUAUCAUAUAGUGGUGAAGCCUGGGCUUUAAGUGCACCUAUCACCCGAAUAGCGUACAUUGUACCCACUAGGUAGUAUUUCAUUUCUCACCCUUCUUCCACCUUUUGGAAUCUCCAGUGUUUGUUGUUCUACUCUGUAUGCCCAUGUGUACUCAUUGUUUCACUCCCACUUAUAAGUGAGAACAUGUGCUUUUGACUUUCUGUUUCUGAGUUGUUUCACUUAGGAUAAUGCAUGUUCCUGUUUUGAUUCAGUCAAAAUCCUGGGGUCAGCACUGACAAUGUGAUUAACCCCUGUCCUAAAUUCACUGCAGAGGAACUGCUCCCAUAUGACUACUUAUUACCACCCAAGCCAGAAACCACAAAGAUAUUCUGACCUCUCCUCCUUCACUCCCCACCAACUGGUGAGUAAGCUAGUCACCAAGUCUUGAUUCUACUUGCAAACAUCUUUGGAAGGGAUCUCUCACUCCACACAGUCUCUGUCAUUGCCAAGUAUACCCAUUACCUCUGCUCUGUCCUACGGCUCAUCAUUCCUCAUCUACAUGCUGCACCAACCUCCUAACUCCCAUUCCUCCCCCUCCUAGUUCACUGCCAUAGCGUAAUCUUUCUAUAUCACGGAUCAUAUUGUGUCCGAAAUUGGUGGGUUCUUGGCCUCACUUACUUCAAGAAUGAAGCUGCAGACCCUCGUGGUGAGCGUUACAGUUCUUAAAGGUGAUGUGUCUGGAGUUUGUUCCUUCUGAUCAUGUUCGGAGUUUCUUCCUUCUGGUGGGUUCGUGGUCUCGUUGGCUUCAAGAGUGAAGCUGCAAACCUUCAAGGUGAGUGUUACAGCUCUUAAGGCAGCGCAUCUGGAGUUGUUUCUUCCUCC
rnacentral:lncRNA from 10 species